CCUAUUUGGCUAUAGAGAAACCUUGUAAACACUCUAGAAGUCACAAUUUUUGCCCAAUCAUCAUGAAAGUUGGUCAAAACAUUGGUUUUAUUGAUAUCUCGGACAAGUUUGAAAAUGGUCGGAAUCGGUGAAAAAACAUGGCCGCCAGUGGGCGGGGCAUUUUUCUCUAUAUGUAUAUAGUGAAAACAUGUGAACACAGUAGAAGUCACAUUUUUGGCCCAAUUUUCAUGAAAUUUGCUCAGAACAUAUGUUUCUUUGAUAUGAGAGUUGAGUUCAAAAAUGGUUCCGGUCAGUUGAAUAACAUGGCUGCUGGGAGGGGGGCAGUUUUCUCAUUAUGCCCCCCCCCCCCUUUCGAAGAAGAGGGGGUAUAUUGUUUUGCUCAUGUCGGUCCGUCCGUCCACCAGAUGGUUUCCGGAUGAUAACUCAAGAGCGCUUAUGCCAAGGAUCAUGAAACUUAAUAGGUACAUUGAUCAUGACUUGCAGAUGACUCCUAUUAAUUUUCAGGUCACUAGGUCAAAGGUCAAGGUCACGAUGACCCGAAAUAGUUAAAUGGUUUCCGGAUGAUAACUCAAGAACGCUUAGGCCUAGGAUCAUGUAACUUCAUAGGUACAUUGAUCAUAACUCGUAGAUGACCCCUAUUGAUUUUCAGGUCACUAGGUCAAAGGUCAAGGUCACGAUGACCUGAAAUAGUAAAAUGGUUUCCGGAUGAUAACUCAAGAACGCUUAGGCCUAGGAUCAUGAAACUUCAUAGGUACAUUGAUCAUGACUCGUAGAUGACCCCUAUUGAUUUUCAGGUCACUAGGUCAAAGGUCAAGGUCACAGUGACCUGAAAUAGUAAAAUGGUUUCUGGAUGAUAACUCAAGAACGCUUAGGCCUAGGAUCAUGAAACUUCAUAGGUACAUUGAUCAUGACUCGUAGAUGACCCCUAUUGAUUUUCAGGUCACUAGGUCAAAGGUCAAGGUCACGGUGACCUGAAAUAGUAAAAUGGUUUCUGGAUGAUAACUCAAGAACGCUUAUGCCUAGGAUCAUGAAACUUCAUAGGUACAUUGAUCAUGACUCGUAGAUGACCCCUAUUGAUUUUCAGGUCACUAGGUCAAAGGUCAAGGUCACGGUGACCUGAAAUAGUAAAAUGGUUUCUGGAUGAUAACUCAAGAACGCUUAGGCCUAGGAUCAUGAAACUUCAUAGGUACAUUGAUCAUGACUCGUAGAUGACCCCUAUUGAUUUUCAGGUCACUAGGUCAAAGGUCAAGGUCACAGUGACCCGAAUAGUAAAAUGGUUUCCAGAUGAUAACUCAUGAAUGCUUAUGCCUAGGAUCAUGAAACUUCAUAGGUACAUUGAUCAUGACUCGAAGAUGACCCCUAUUGAUUUUCAGGUCACUAGGUCAAAGGUCAAGGUCACGGUGACCUGAAAUAGUAAAAUGGUUUCUGGAUGAUAACUCAAGAACGCUUAUGCCUAGGAUCAUGAAACUUCAUAGGUAUAUUGAUCAUGACUCGCAGAUGACCCCUAUUGAUUAUGAGGUCACUAGUUCAAAGGUCAAGGUCACAGUGCCAAAAAACGUAUUCACACAAUGGAUGUCAAGGUCACGGUGACUCAACUUAGAAAAAUGGUUUCCGGAUGAUAACUCAAGAAUGCUUACGCCUAGGAUCAUGAAACUUCAUAGGUACAUUGAUCAUGACUCGCAGAUGAAAUAAUGAUGAAACUUGACCAGGAUGUUUGUCUGGACAAUAUCUAGGUCAAGUUUGACAUUUGGUAAAGAUUGAAUGAACCGACUCCUCUCAGGUGAGCGAACUAGGGCCAUCUUGGCCCUCAUGUUUAGCUCUACUGGCCAAAGGCCUGAAGAGCUAAUGUCAUGGCGUGGUUUACGUGCGUCUGUUAGACUUUUUCUUGUUUACGCGAUAAAGUCCACAGUCUUCAUCCGAUUCUUUUCAAACUUGUUCAGUGUCUUUAUAUUAAUGAGGAUUCGAACCCUAUUUAAAAUGGGUUACAUCAGAGUAAAAGUCCAGAAUUAUCUCCCCUUGAAUUUGAGAAAAUUGUGAAAUAAGGCUUGUUUACGCAAUAAAGUCCACGGUUUUCAUCCAGUCAUUUCCCAACUUGCACAGUGUCUUUAU